rnacentral:rRNA from 1 species
GUUAUCGUUUAUUUGAUAGUACCUUACUACAUGGAUAACCGUGGUAAUUCUAGAGCUAAUACAUGCUAAAAACCCCGACUUCGGAAGGGGUGUAUUUAUUAGAUAAAAAACCAAUGCCCUUCGGGGCUCCUUGGUGAUUCAUAAUAACUUAACGAAUCGCAUGGCCUUGUGCCGGCGAUGGUUCAUUCAAAUUUCUGCCCUAUCAACUUUCGAUGGUAGGAUAGUGGCCUACCAUGGUAUCAACGGGUAACGAGGAAUUAGGGUUCUAUUCCGGAGAGGGAGCCUGAGAAACGGCUACCACAUCCAAGGAAGGCAGCAGGCGCGCAAAUUACCCAAUCCCGACACGGGGAGGUAGUGACGAUAAAUACUGAUACAGGGCUCUUUUGGGUCUUGUAAUUGGAAUGAGUACAAUCUAAAUCCCUUAACGAGGAACAAUUGGAGGGCAAGUCUGGUGCCAGCAGCCGCGGUAAUUCCAGCUCCAAUAGCGUAUAUUAAAGUUGUUGCAGUUAAAAAGCUCGUAGUUGAACCUUGG